rnacentral:rRNA from 1 species
GCCUUACAGCUAGCCCACAAAAGUAAAAGCAACACACCACUUAAAUAACCCCUAACAUACUCAACACCUAACAAACAAAUCAUUUUUCCCCCUUAGUAUGGGCGACAGAAAAGGGACCCCAGGAGCAAUAGAGAAAGUACCGCAAGGGAAAGCUGAAAGAGAAAUGAAACAAAUCCGUUUAAGCCUACCAAAGCAGAGACUAAAAC